GGCGACGAUCAGUAGCGGGUCUGAGAGGAUGAUCCGCCACACUGGAACUGAGACACGGCCCAGACUCCUACGGGAGGCAGCAGUGGGGAAUUUUGGACAAUGGGGGCAACCCUGAUCCAGCCAUGCCGCGUGUCUGAAGAAGGCCUUCGGGUUGUAAAGGACUUUUGUCAGGGAGGAAAUCCCGCUGGUUAAUACCUGGCGGGGAUGACAGUACCUGAAGAAUAAGCACCGGCUAACUACGUGCCAGCAGCCGCGGUAAUACGUAGGGUGCGAGCGUUAAUCGGAAUUACUGGGCGUAAAGCGUGCGCAGGCGGUUUUGCAAGUCUGAUGUGAAAGCCCCGGGCUCAACCUGGGAACGGCAUUGGAGACUGCAAGACUAGAGUGCGUCAGAGGGGGGUAGAAUUCCGCGUGUAGCAGUGA
rnacentral:rRNA from 2 species